ACUACCCCAAUCACUCCAUACUUAUCCUAAUCACUCCCCUAAACUUAGAACACACGAACGUAAUAAAAGAAUAUUGUGAUACUGAGGACAGACAGAUUUGAGGAGGAGAACCCCAUUUUGGAGCUUCGUCACCUUCUGCCCCGUCGACCAGCUCCUUCACGACCACCAUAGUCAGUCCCAUCUCCAAGCAAUCCACACCAGAAAACACGCACACAACUUCUUCUUUUUCGUCUGUACCUGCUCCGCAAAUACACACCCCCAGUCAUGCGCAAGAACAGAUUUCUGAAACAUAUAGUUUAAUUGAAGUCGUGAAUCGUUUUCGAGUUUGAAUCCGUUGUCAAUCGUCGAGUCGAGGUUCGAAUCUGCGAAUCCGUGUUCAGGUUUGCUUUUUCCAUGGUUUUAUUAGUUGUUUUAUGAUUUAAAUAUCGUUAGUCUUGAUAGAAUUCUCUGUCGCAAUAUCAUUAAAGCCUUCGAUGAUCUCAUUUUAAUAUGUGAGCUUGGAGUCUACUUUUUAAAGCAUGAUUUGUUCUCCUUUCCACUUUAUUCCAUGUCAGUUUAUUGUUUUGGUAUGUGAAUUGAUAAAUAUUUAAAGAAGGUAUGUAGAGUUAAAUCUUAGAAAUUAAUAAGAUGAGGAUUUGAUAAGGAACUAAGGCUAUACAAAUCUUUUAAUGGCUUAUUAAAUGUUCGAAAUUAAUAGGAUGAGGAUUUGAUAAGGAACUAAGGCUAUACAAAUCUUUUAAUGGCUUCUCAUAAUAUUUUGGUCAAUUUAGCUUGGUAUUCUGUUAUUUUACUUGGAUGUUUAUUCCUUUUGUUUUCUUCGAACGGUCUGAGUGUUUAUUUACAGAUUGUUGUUUGAACUCAAACAUUAAAAUGGAUCUCAUAGUUCACUUUAGGCUUGCCUUUAAUAAAACGAGACGAGACUCGCCGAAUAAAAAUGUACAAGUUGCGGGGCCUUCUACAUGUGAUCGUAAAGUUACUUAGACUUCGGGAUGGGCCGUUUAGCAAAUUUCACGGUCAAAAUAACUAUACGCUAGUCGCUGUAGGAGCGUACUUUAAAUAAUGCUACCUUCUUAAAUUUGGGUGUACAUUUAUGUAACCCAAAUUCAAAUCUCGACGGAGUCGAAAUGUGUCGACGACGACGUGUACACUGGUUGUGACGUGGUUCGAGAUACGUUUUCACAAGGUUGCAAUUCCUUUGUUAAGAAUGAUAACAAUAAUAGUAAAAACAGUAAAAGAGUCCUAAUUUGCACUAAGUACAUAAUUGUUAAAAUCAGAUAAAUAAGCCGAAUAUAACAGUUGAGCGNNNNNNNNNNNNNNNNNNNNNNNNNNNNNNNNNNNNNNNNNNNNNNNNNNNNNNNNNNNNNNNNNNNNNNNNNNNNNNNNNNNNNNNNNNNNNNNNACUAGAACCACGGAACUCGGGAAUGCCUAACACCUUCUCCCGAGUUAACAGAAUUCCUUAUCCAGAUAUAUGGUACGUAGACUGUAAUUUAGAGCCAAUUCCUUUCCUCGAUUCGGGAUUAAAACUGGUGACUUGGGACACCGUAAAUCUUCCAAGUGGCACCUCUGAAAUAAAUAGCAAAUCCCGUUCGAUUGUCCUUUAAUUGGAAAAAACUCAUUCAACCCUCGCGGGAUACCGGAAAAAAUAGGUUUGACAUCUCCAACCACUCGAGUUGGUCUUCCUCCCUUUUUUUCUCUUUUUCUACCUUAUUGAGUUUGGCCUUCAACUCAUCAAUUUGUUGGUUGGUUUGACGCUCGUGUAUCGCUUGCCUCGUACAAGCACAAUGAAAAUCAUAAAUGCACUCUUUGUAACGCUUUUGUCUACACUCUUCAUCAAACCAUACAUCAAAUUCACAAGUGGGCUUGUCUGGUUGCUCGUCAAACUUGUUCGUACGACCUCAGUAGCGGCGUCCACCAUCUCGCCACGAUUUGAACAAACUGCAUUUCUCUCCGCAGUAGCACCUUGGGACAUAAACGUGUUGUUCAGACAUUUUGUAAAGAGAAAUUUUGCUGAUUGUUAAGUGCAAAAAAUAAGUAGCGUACAAAUGUUAUUUAUAGUAAAUAUUUCAUACAAUACACAGUAUUAUACUGCAAUUUACGUAUUCAAUUUUUUUGGAAAAAGUUACUUUUUCCACAUUCGAUUUUCAGCUUUUCUAGGAAGACAUGACAACGAAAUAAUACGUAGUAUUUAACUGCGAAUUACAUAUUUAGCUUUUCACAUGCUUUUCCAACACAAAUAAGUUUAAUAUUAGAACAACCAUAGCAAAAUAUAACGUUAAAAAAUAAGAUGUAAUUUGGAAUAUUCUUUUAUUUCAUUAAAUUGAAACUUACGCAAGUACAAACAUGAAUAUAAAGAAAAAAAUCAAAAUGAAAUACUAGAGGUUGUCGUGAUAGUUGGGUACGUUAGAUGAACUUGCACCGGGAUUACCACCGCCUCGAACACUGGCUGAAGAAUAUUUACGACGGUCGUGCCUUGUUUGCGAGCAUAUGCCAUAUUUACGCGCAUAAACUGUGUCACCAACAUCCAUUUGGUUUCGUAUUCGCGUUCACGUUUUCACUUGCAACUUGCACAAAUAGUCCUUGUUACGUACCAUCUUAAAUGGUUCUGGCGGCCAAUAAUGCUUAGCACCUAGUGGCUGCAACUUUCCACUAUAUGUGUCUACAUAUGCAGCAACAUUGUAUUGCCUAUCAAUAUAGUUUGUUGCCCCAUAUCCAACUUGCUGAAAGCACUUCAAUGCAUGUGAGCACAACNNNNNNNNNNNNNNNNNNNNNNNNNNNNNNNNNNNNNNNNNNNNNNNNNNNNNNNNNNNNNNNNNNGUUUAUUUUCCACACGAACACAACCUUCUAUUUUCAUUCACCGUAUGUAGAUUAUUCCCACGGUGCCCGCUGAUAGAUGUCUUAACUUCAAAAAUACCCCGUUCGUGAUCGUACUGAGAAAUGAAUGCCACUGUGCUUGCCUCCUCGACCUUACAAAAUGGGUAUUGACAUAAAUUCAAUACCCCGGUCCAUUAAUGCUGAGGCAGCCGCAUGCCUUUCAACAAACCUCUCCGUGCUCUGUUUGAAUGUCAUGAGAACCAUGGCAGUGACAAGCAGUCCACGGGCAGAUUUCAGCAAGCCGUUGAGUCACUCUGACACGUUUGUAGUCAAGGCUCUCAAUCGUCUGUCGCCAUCAUCAUGCAAUGUCCACAUGUGAAGCUCAUGCCCUAUCAACCAAGUAUACGCUCUUGGUUCUAUCUACCGGAUCGCUUCCAUGCGCCGACUGAAUUUGCAUUGCUGGGGCUCAGUUGCAGUUAUCCACAUUAAGUCAUGCAAGGUCUUGUCAGAAAAUUUCUUCUAAAAAUUAGUCUUCAGGUGCCGCACACAGUAACGAUGGUAUGCAUAUGGUUCCUGCCAUGCAGUCAAGUGAUGCACAGAACUUAAAAUACCACCAUGCCAAUCUGAUAUUAGACAAAACCUGAACGUUGUUUGACAACGUGCUGCUUCAAGUGGUUCAAAAAAGGGUCCACGUCUCUUCUCUUUCGUUGGGACAUAUGGCAAAGGCUAAUGGAAAUAUUUUUCCGUUGGCAUCUACAACAACUGCAAUCAAAAGCUUAAUAUCAUACUUUCCAUAGACAUGGGUANNNNNNNNNNNNNNNNNNNNNNNNNNNNNNNNNNNNNNNNNNNNNNNNNNNNNNNNNNNNNNNNNNNNNNNNNNNNNNNNNNNNNNNNNNNNNNNNUUAGUUAUCAUACUUUCCAUAGACAUGGGUACCGUCUAUGCAAAUAACAGGACGACAAUGCACAAAACCAUUAAUUGUCGGUAAAUGACCAGAACACAUAGUUGAAAAUAUGUUCGGGUCUGUCCGAACUCCGCUCACGCCUCCAUUCAACAACAGUGCCGGGGUUAAAGUGUUGCAAUGCGGCUAUGUACUUGGGCAGAUUUGAAAAAGACUUAUCCCAGUCGCCAUAAAUAAGUUCAAAGGCACGUUUUCGAUCGAGAUAUGCCUUUCUUUUAGUUACACUACAACCAUACUCCUUAUGGAUGGCUGUGAUACACUCUUUAAUCUGUACCUAAUGGAAACUACCAAAUAUGGAAUCAAGACAAGAGAAAUCAAGUCGACAUCCAAGUUGAAGUGAUUCUCAUUCUAUAUGUCCAUUUCACAUCUGUGCUUGCUAAUAAAUUUACCCACUUUCCACAAACCUGAUUUCUUCUUGGUGGCACGCAACAUCAAGUGACAACCCAUAAACAAUCUACGGCAUACAACCUUCCAUUUAUCUGUAGUUGACUCAACUACAGUCAUCUCGCGGCACUCUUUUAUGCUAUAGAUUUUUACAGCCCUAAUUAGGCGAGCUUUAUCGGGAAAAUACAUGCCCUUAGUCAAAACAGAUGGCCUAGACUCAUCCCACAUUUGUGACCAAAAUUCACCAUCUUCUCUUGUGAGGGCAUCCACGUUUGGUAUGCUUGGAAAAUUAUCAAGGUAGGGGAUAUUCCGCUCAUGAAAUGGCACGUGGGACUCGUACACUCUAGGUCGCACGGGAGGUGGAGGAACAUGGUCCCUUGCCGGUCCAGGUUCAACAUUCACUUCCUCCUCCAUAUCACCAACCUCAAAAGGGAAGGGUGUGUCAUCCCCAGACUCAUCCGCAUUAUUAUCGUAGUCACUAUCAUCUUCCUGACUCUACGCAUCUGCCAAAUCACGAGUAAAUACAUCAUUUAUGGGAAGCUGUGUGAGGUCAGGAGCUUCAAGAAGCUUGUUUUCACUGCACAAAAAGAACAAAAAGAUAAGUUACCUAAUACUCCGAAAAAAUACUUUAGAUAUAGCUAUAUCACUUUACUUACAAGUCGUAUUAUCUUGACAUUUCUUGUUGAUGAUGACUCCCGGAUGGACCAUCGUGGUCCAGUACUCCAGAAAUACACAUAUUCCAACUAGAGAUCGGCUCAUAACUCGUAAAAUUUCGGACGGUACCCCCUAUGAAAAAUAUGACCGUUAAUACAAAUCCAAUUCAAAUGUAAAACAAACAGCAACUCUGCGCAUCAGCCAAAUCACGAGUAAAUACAUUGUCUAUGGGAAGCUGUGUGAGGUCAGGAGCUUCAAGAAGCUGGUUUUCACUGCACAAAAAUAACAACAGGAUAAGUUACCUAAUACUCCGGAAAAAUACUUUAGAUAUAGCUAUAUCACUUUACUUACAAGUUGUAUUGUCUUGACAAUUCUUGUUAGUGAUGACUCCCGGAUGGACCACCUGAUCCGAUACUCUAGAACUAGGAAUAUUCCAACUAGGGGUCUACUCAUAACUCGUAAAAUUCAUAUCUGGGCGAAGCUCCCUAUGAAAAUAUGUCCGUUAAAACAAAUCAAAUUCAAACGUAAAAUAAACAGCGCAAAACCAUAGCAAAAUUGAAGUUUACCAGUCCUUUUGUUGAUUAUAUAAAUUCGAUAAAAUAUUUUGUGGGUGCUCAUUGGUGACUAGUUUAAAUCAAGGCAAGCUCUUUCUUCACCAACCUGUCCGGCAAAAAUUUCUCAGAAUAACCACCCGAUGACUGGUGGCUAUCCAUGCUAUGCACGCCCUCUUCCACCUUGAUGUAAAUUUCUAAUAUUUUAUUACAAUAAAUUCCCUAUUCCUCCGAAAUCCGCAAAAAAACUCUAAGAGUAUCAUCAUCGUCGAUGUUAAACUCCGAAUAAUAAGCAAACCCAUGCGAAGUCAGUGAAUACGAAAAUCUACUAGUUACUUUGAAGUUAACCGAAUGCCUCCUCUCACUCAUAUUUUUACGUAACAACGAUACCAAUGUAUCGUACUCUAUAUUAAGCGGCAAUUUAACGUGACACUGUGGAGGUGAACUGUACCUCACAAAGUUAUUCUCCAGCACAACCUCACCAACCCAAUAUAGAGAAACCCUUAUUUUUUGCACUUCAGACAUUAUAAAAAAGAUUGACAAGAAGAAGAGAGAAGUUUAUUGAAUGAAUGUUCAUGAAAAUCAAACGUCUAUAAAUAAGGUAAAUCCGAGCUCGGCACAUUGAAUUUUUCAAAUGAAUUCGCAAUAAAAUAUUGCGUUUUAUAUUUUUGAAUUAUUGUUGUUGUGUCAGUUAAAAUAAUAAGGUGGGGCCAAAAAGGAACAAUUCGCACUAAAUUACUGCGAAUUGUCCCUUUUUUUGGUCUGGCACAGUUGAUUAAUAAAAAUAAAAAUUUAAAGGGAAUUUGCAGUAAAUUAUUGCGAAUUACAUUUAAAUAUUUUUUAUCAAUUCGCAGUAAUUUAGUGCGAAUUACGUUAACGGAAAUAAUUCCGUUAACCUAAUUCGCAAUAAAUUAAUGCGAAAUAGGUAGAAAUAUAACUUUUUUAACAUUAAAAAAGAACUUUGAGUCCAAAAAAUUAUCACUUCGGUUUCAGACUCCUUUUUCUUCCUAUACGAAAGCUUCAUAUUCAAAUCAUAAUCACCUACAAUUGUAUCACACCCUCCCCCUUCAUCCAUCUUAUUCCAGUAAAAUCUAUUGCUAUUCCACCAACCUAAAUCAUCCAAAAAGCCAACAAAUAUUUAUUUCAAAGUAUUUCCCUAAAUGCCACCAGUAUUAAAGCAACCUAAUUUUUUCUCAAUUCGUUUAUCAGCUGCAACCUACUAACUAGGUGUAUUAUAGAAGAAAGAACAGAAAUAGAAAAGAAAGAAGAAGAGAAUGAGGGAUGAUGACCACGAAUAAUGAAUGGAGGUACUAGUAAAGAGAAAUUGAGGAAGGUUGGGACGACAAAGGUAGGUGGAGACUAGAAAAUAAAAGAAAAAAUUAUUGAAUGGGAAAGAGAAAUGGGAAAAAGAAACGGGGAAGGGGCGGGAAAGUAGGAUAGAAAAUAAAAAAAAAUUUACAGGAUGGGGAUGUGAGUUAACUUGGGAAGAUGAGAGAGGUGGGAGGGGAAUGGAAAAGAGAAGGGGAAAAGAGAAGGGGAGAGAGAAAGGUCUUUGCUUUUUUAAUUUCAUAUACAUAUUUUACUCUAUUUCUAAUAUUGUUUAAUAAAUAUAAAACUAUUUAUGUGCCUUGACAGCGCGAUUAGCACAUAAUUUAGCCAUGUUAGCUGUGCCACUUUCACAUAGGUUUGGUCAAUGGUCAAAUGUAUUUAUUAGUAGUCAUUUCGUCAAAUUAAAGUGUUCAAGUGGGAAAAAAUAUAAGUUCAUAUAUCGGCUUUACAAAUCGGUAUAAACUGAAGCGGCAAGGAAGCCAUUACGCCUAAAUUGUAUGGUUUCUUAAACAAAAGUUCAUCGUAUCAAUUCUCCUUAUUAAAUUCCUUAAAAACAUACUAUGAGAACGUGGUUUUUGUCCUAUAUAUGAAUAACUCCCAAAAAUUCAAACAACAUAAUUUUUUUCUUUAUUUUUAUAAUUUUUGUGAAUUUUGGUGCCAUUUUGUGUUAAUUGUUGGCAUUUUAUUUGCGCAUUUUUAUCUAUAUGAAAAUACAAAAAUACGCAUUUGCAUUUAGGAUCUAAUUUCAUGUUUUAGUAUUAAUUAGGGGUUAAUUUAUUUUAGGAAAAUAUGUGAAGAAGAUGACAAAAAUAGCCACUUUAGCAUUUAUAUUGUUUUAAUUGUGAAAUUAUCACAAAAUAGCUAUUAAAUAAAUUUCUUGCAGUAGUUAGUCUUAGUUUAAUUGUUAGUUUAAUUUUGAAUCUUUGUAAAAAAUUAAAAAAAUGAAUACAAAAUUACAAUUUGAAAAAUGAAAACAAAACAAAAAGAAUGAAAAGAAAAACAAAGGGAUGCCUAAUAUCAGAUCCAAUUUUUGGGCUAUUCUUGGAGGAAAUUCUUAGGCCCAUUUCGUCGACCCAAUUCCCUGACCCAGUCCAGCCUCCAAACGACGCCGUUUCAACUCGAGUAAUCUGGGCCGGUAACGACCCUCAUUUUUUCUUGGGUAAUUAUAAAAGUGUCUGAAACCAUUAAUUAAACAUAAAACUUUUUUCAUCUUCAUCGUACUAACCCCCCUAUAACACCGGAAAUUUUACCACCGUGUCUCCGCCGUCCGCCGCCGCCGGAGCUCCAAAUCGCCCCAAAGUUACACCCCCCACUCUCCUCAACCUCCUCUUUCCAUAUAUGCUAAUGGUUUCCCUCGAAUCGUCACCCAAUUGUUCGAAUCUUGAAUUUAAGUUUUCCGGCCAAGUAACUACCUCACCCAAACUCGCCAUAAAUCACACCCCCGUAAUUCCCUGACCUCCCUCAUCCCCAAUACCUAACCAAAAUCCUUCUAAUCCAAGUAGAAUUGAGCGAAUUUCAAAUUUGAGGUUCAUGAAGUCGGGUCUGUUCUGAGGCAUUCGGAAUCAGUCGAUUUUUGCUUGAUGUUAUAUGUCUAUUUUUGACGAAAUAGAUAAUAACAUUAGUCGAAAAUUAAUUUAUACGUUUGGCCAAGGAUUUUGAAAUCAGCAAGUUCCCUUUCAAUUUUAUUUUUGUUUAUCUUGGUUCUCGUGAGUUCUAGUUCAUUAAUGGUAAAUCGAUAUUAUUAGGUUUUAGGCGUUAGUUUGAUUUUUAGUUUGGUUAACUCUCGUCUUAUCGUUUCUAUUCUGAUUGUUGUUCUAAUUUUGUGAUCGAUAUCAUUUGCUUGUUCAUCUCGUUUAGAUUCUAAUUCAUUUUAACUUUUGGUUUUACUCUGAUUAUUAGUGUAAUUCAUUGCUAAUUUGUUAUGAUAGUUUGGGCCUUGUUUGAAUAUGAUUCCUUAUGAUUUAGCGUUAAUGAGUUAGGUUAAAUUAGUGUGAUUAGCAUGGCAGUACUUCAUAUCUAAUAGGUUUAAGCUUGUAUUAAGUUGAUCCUGAAUGUGUAAUGCAAUUUGUUUAUCCGUUUAGUUCAUUGUUCAAUAAGUUUAACUGUAGGUGAAUUGGUUUGUAGCUGUUAACUUUAAUUAGGAUAAAAGAGGAUUGAUUUAUCUGUUUAGUUCAUUGUUCAAUAAGUUUAACUGUAGGUGAAUUGGUUUGUAGCUGUUAACUUUAAUUAGGAUAAAAGAGGAUUGAAUUCAUGUAGGACUAGGAUAGUAAUUUCAGGAGCAUUUUAAGUAUAGAAAAGGGUAGUUUUAUUAGGAAUAGUAAUUCCAAAACAAAUACAAGGGUAGUAUAGGUUUUGUGUAGCUAAAAGAACACCCUAUGGCCUUCUAGAAUAGGACUUUAGCGUAGAAUUCAAUAAACUCAGGGCACUUACUUGAGUAACAAGUCCAAAAUAGGAAAACUAAUCUGAAAAUGAGGAGGGAAUAAAAGGAAAACUAAAAAUUGAGGGCUGCCCUCCCUUAGGCCUAUAAAAAGGCAUCAUUAGUGCCUUAUAAUACAAGGUUUUGAGCUCAAAACCCCAAAAACAUUCUCCCAUUUCCAGAUCAAAAACUGGAAUUCAAACAACAACAACAACUACCCAGUAUAGUCCCACAAAGUGGGGAUAUCCCCCCAAAGGUUCUCACUAGUUCUCAUAUCUGAUUUUUUAAUUCAAAUUCAAAAAACCAAAAACAAAUAGAAAAUAGAACAAAAUCCAAAAAUAUCACGGUUUCAUUGCUUUCCUUAGUUUAGUUUCAGAUUCUAGCUCUAGUUCAAUUUUAAUUCAUUUCAAAACUCAAAAAAUAGUUUGAAUUCUCUAAUUCCGUUAAAUAUUAAAAUUUUGAAACUGUUUGAGGUCAUUUGGGCAUUGGUGUUGGUUAAUUGUAGUCAAUUGUGGCUUAAUUAGUAGGGUAUACUGCUUUCCUGGGUCAUUUCGGAGUACUUUGGUACCGUUGGGAUUAUUUUGUUGACCGUGCUUGGUUUUUCAAAACACUCAUGGGUUUGAGUUUGAUUUUGAACUGCUGCUGAUAAUUGUAUUUGCUGCUCAUCUCUCCUCAUUGAAUCUCAAUUUCAGGUGCACACUCCUUAUCUCUAAUGAUGUAAAAAUUUGGUUCAAAUAUGUAGAUGAUAUGGAAAGUUAAUGAAGGAAAAAUUGCUCUGUUUAUUUGAAUUCGUUAAGAUUUUUUUGUAGCUUUAAACAUUCAGAUUAGAUGCUCAUGUUAUUUGGGAUUGUACUUUAUCAUAGCUACAAUAGUAACUAGUCUCCUAUUGAAUGAGGAAAGGUAUUAGCUAUAGGUAUUUUAUCUGUGUGUUCAACACAAACUUUUGAACUGAAUAACUAUUCGAGUUAGAAAUGAGUCGUUGGAUUUAGCUAGUUUAGUUUUGCUUCUGAAUAAUUUGGUUAUAGAAAGUGGAAGAUUAGUUGAAACAUGAAAUAGUUUCGAGUUUUGGAAUUCUCAUGCAUAUUAAUAAUUUUCCAACUAAGUCGACCUUGUUCAUAAUUGCAGUAGUUUAUAUCUAAAUUCCCAGGUUAUUUGAGUGUUGACUUAGUAACGUUAGCUAAAAUCAAUUUACAAAUAAUCAACACAUUGUGUGUUAAUAACAUCGUGUUUUUUCAAUUUGUUUUAUCAUCUUAUUAGUACUUCAGAACUCAACAGAAAAGCCAAUAAUCAACAUCCUGUUAGUUUGAGUAAUUGUGAAUUGUGUCUCCCUAUUGUAACUCAUUGAAUACAUUUGGAUCUAUUUGUGUUAAUAUCGACAUGCAUUAAGCCUAUACGUGUGCCUCGUUUUGGGAUUGGGCUCAUUUUGAGCCCAAAGUUGGCUGUUUCAUGGACGUAGGCAGCCUAGCUCAGGUGACCAGACUGCCUCAUUUGUGGGUCGAUUCUUAGGCAAAAUAAAAUCACAUUGGGAAUACGGGGUAUUAACUUGCGUAUAAAUUUAGAUUUUUGAGUUAAGUAGCAGGUUCAAGCAAAAAGGGUCCUCCCUUUGUUUGUA
rnacentral:lncRNA from 1 species